rnacentral:rRNA from 1 species
UACGGGGGGAGCAAGCGUUGUUCGGAUUUACUGGGCGUAAAGGGCGCGUAGGCGGUCAGCACAAGUCAGUUGUGAAAUCUCCGGGCUUAACUCGGAAAGGUCAACUGAUACUGUCGAGCUAGAGUGUGGAAGGGGCGAUUGGAAUUCCGUGUGUAGCGGUGAAAUGCGUAGAUAUACGGAGGAACACCAGAGGCGAAGGCGGAUCGCUGGGCCAACACUGACGCUGAUGUGCGAAAGCUAGGGGAGCAAACGGG